rnacentral:lncRNA from 1 species
GGGGUCUGUAAUGGCGACAUUGAUGUUCAUCUGGGCUAUGUUCCGGCAAUACUUCCCUUGCGACCUCAUCGAAAAAUACUCCCACAGAUUGAUGAAGUUUUUCUACCCUCACAUCCAAAUCACUUUCGAUGAAUACGGCAGAGGUCAUUUCAUGCGCCAUGAAUUCUACACCGCCAUCGAGACCUACCUCAGCUCCAAUACCGCCGACCAAGCCAACCGCCUCAAAGCCAACACCGCCAAAAACAACCAGUCACUGGUUCUCACCAUUGAUGACGGUGAAGAGGUUGAAGAUGAGUUUGAGGGAGUGAAGCUGUGGUGGACUCCAAGGACGAUCACAGCCGAAACUCGGACCUCCCGCUCCUAUGAGCAGCCGGAUGAGAAGAGGUACUACCGGCUGACUUUCCACAAGAAACACCGGGAUUUGAUCACCAAGAAGUACCUCAGUCAUGUGUUGAGGGUAGGGAAGGCGAUUAAGGUCAGAACCCGGCAGCGGAAGCUUUAUACCAACAGUUGGUCGAUGUGGAGCCAUGUGGUUUUUGAUCACCCUGCAACUUUUCAAACGCUUGCCAUGGAGGCUGAUAAGAAGAGGGAGCUGAUCGAGGACUUGGUUUCUUUCAGCAAGGCUGAAGAUUUCUAUGCAAGAAUUGGGAAAGCUUGGAAGCGGGGUUACCUCCUUUAUGGCCCUCCUGGGACGGGAAAAUCUACCAUGAUUGCUGCCAUGGCGAAUCUGUUGCUGUACGACGUCUAUGAUCUUGAACUGACGGCGGUCAGUGACAACACCAUGCUGAGGAAGCUGCUGAUGCAGAUUCCGAGCAAGUCCAUCACUGUGAUUGAGGACAUCGACUGCUCCCUCAACUUGACGGGUCAGAGGAAGAAGAUGAAGGAGAACAAGGCGGCCGAGGAGGAAGAGAAGGACCCCAUUAAAAAACAAGCGAAGGUAAGAGACUCUGAUGAAGGGAAAACCAGCAAGGUGACUCUCUCCGGGCUGUUGAACUUCAUUGACGGCCUUUGGUCGGCCUCCAAGGGGGAAAGGCUAAUAGUGUUCACGACGAACUACAUGGAGAAGCUCGACCCAGCUCUGAUUCGGCGAGGAAGGAUGGACAAGCACAUCGAAUUGUCAUACUGCAGCUUUGAAUCAUUCAAGGUGCUGGCGAAGAACUAUCUGGAGCUUGAUUCCCACCACCUGUUCGACACGAUUGAGAGGCUGUUGGGGGAAAGUAAAGUGACCCCAGCUGAUGUUGCUGAGCAUUUGAUGCCUAAGACAAGUGUGGCUGAUGUUGAAACAAGCUUGAAGAGCCUGGUUCAGGCAUUGGAGAUGGCCAAGGAAGAAGCAAUGUUGAAGGCCAAGGAAGAAGGCAAAGACAAGGAAGAAGGCAAAGAGGAGUCAUCUGCUAGGGAAGAAGAUUGAUGAUCAUUGGCAAUAGAGACUAUGAUUGUGUUUAUCCUUCUGAAUUAAUUCCUGGGAAUUAUGAAAUAUUGGUCAAGUUAAUAGUUUGGUAAUUGAGGUUAAUGGGAAAUGCAUAUGGUGACCAAUUCUGAAGAUCUUUUCUAGGGCUUAAGACAUGGGGGGAAAGGACAAGAGAAAUGAAAGGGGGAAAGUUUGUGCCUAAUGAAUAUUUUUACAGCAGGAGGAUGAAUGCCGAUCACUUCUAUUAUGGAAAUUGAAGACAUAAGUAAUAUAAACGUUAUUUGAGUUUGUUUGACGGUGAUUUUAGAAAGCAUUUUUAACAUUUUUAACAUUUGAAAAUUUUUAUCAUUCAAGUAUUAAAAAUGUUAUCAACGUUUUCUAUCAUUCUUAUUAAACAUACUUUUCAUUUAAUAAAAGAAAGUGUUUUUCAAUAGUUGCAGUCAUACUUGGUUUGACUAUGUUUGUAGAGAACAUUUAUAAUAUAAAUAACAUUUAUCAAGAAAUCAAACAUUUGAAAAGAUUAAUAUUUUGAAAGUAAGGUAAAUAUCUAUUUUUUUAAUAUAUUUUUAGAAUAUAAUAAGGCCUAUGAUUUAAUAAUUUAAAAUUUUAAAAAUGAAUUUUAACCAUAUUAAAUAAAAAAUCAUAUUAAAAUAAUUUAUUUAAGUUGUUUAAUUCCAUAUGGAAAAAAAGAUUAUUAUUUUUUAAUUAUUUAAUUUUUUAUAAAAGAGAAAAAAUAAUUUUUUUUAGGAAUCAAAUUAUAAUUGGAAAUUAAAUAUGAAAAACAUUUUUUUUGAAUUUUUUUUUUGUAUAAACGUAUUAUAAAUUUAGCAUAGUAUAAAAACACUCAAUCUUACUUAAUUUAAAGUUCAUUAAAAAAAAUUAAAAAAUAUAAUUAUAUGUAAAGGGAAAAACUAACAAACUUAUUCAAAUUGAAUUUUGGUUUAUGACUUUUUAAUGUUAAUCGUAUCAAUUUUGAGUUCAUAAUUGUAGUAUUAAUUGAUUCGAUUUUAGAAUUUUAAAUUAUUUUUAAAAAUGACUGAAUUUUAUAUAUAAAGUCUUAUUUGAUUUGAAAUAUAUUUGCCUUAAGAAAAAGAAAAAAUAGAUAAGUUGAAGGAGAAUUUUAUUAAAAUACAUAUAAUUUAAUACGAGACCAUAUUUAAAGAUUUCCGUAUCAUUAUUGGGUAAUGAGAGAAAAUGUAAGAAGAAAGAUACAAUGCUAUACUAUUUUUUUCUUUUUAUGAUUUUUUUUCUAAAUUUUUCUUUUCUUUUUAAAAACUAGUGAAAACAAAUUUUAUUUAUCUUUUAAAAAUUAUUUUCUAUUUCCCUUGCUUCUAAAAACAGUUAAAACAAGCACUUUUUGGAUGCAACACCUAGAAGGACAAUCUCCUCCUAGCUUCCUUCAUUCAUGGCUUCCCAUUAGUAGCUAUCUUUUCGCUAACUUCCACCGCGGUUUAACCAAUGACCGUCAACAUAUGGCAUAAAAAUAAAAAUAAGAAAAAACAUUAAAUUUAGAGUUAUUAGUUGCUCAAGAAACCUUUUGUGUUGGUUCCUAAAGUUAUAUUUUGUUUUUGACGUUAUGUUUGAUUUCUGAAAGUAUAAAAAUAAAAAACUAAGAAAAAUGUAUUUUUUGGAUUUAUAAUAAAAAUACAAAAAUAAAAUAAAAUAACUAAAAUGAGUAAAAAAUGUAUCUAUUUUGAAAAUAUUUAAUCUUUAUAAAAAAAAGAAAAAAAAUUGAAAUGAGUUUGAAGAAACAUAUAAAAAUAAAAAUUAAUAUUAAUUUUUAUUUUUAUUUUUUUCCCUUACAUUUUUUUCUCAAAAUUUCUAAAAUCCAAGUAGAGUAUAAAGGAAAUAAAAAUUAUUAAAAAAAAAUUAUUUUCUCACGAUGUAUCAUACAAAAUACGAGAGAAAAUAAAAUAUAAUUAAAAAUAAUUAAAACUUAUAUGUUUUCAAAUUAUUUAAUUUUUUUUAUAUAAACCAUGAAAAAUAAGUGAAAUAAGUUUUAAAAAUAUAUAAAAAUAAUUUAUUAAAUUUAAAUUUAUUUUUUAUUUUCUUUAAUUUUUUCUUUAAUGCAAAAUACCUGCAGAUAGAAUUUCCUCAAGGAUGGCAUAGAGUAGAAUGCUCCAUGAAGUGUGGCCCAGGCAGGCCCAACGACACAAUCAAGGACCAUGCCGUCCCGAGCCCAAGCCCAAGUCCAAGCUAAACUGAAAGCUAAGGGAGGGCCCAAUCCGAGAACGUAGCCCAUCAUGGAACCCAUAAGAGAAAACCAACCUAUGAAUUAAUGGCUCAUGCUCAAUUGCUAAUUCAUGAUUAACCAUUGUUUUAGUUGCCAACCAAGGUUAAGCCCUGAGUCAAUUUGUGCUUAUCACAUCCGCACAACAAUUUUGACCAAAAUACCAUUUUUUUUAAAUAUUUAUUUAAGCAUGAUAUAUUUUCAAAACUAAUAAUAAAUUUACAUAACUUUUUGAGAAAUUAACUGAAAAUCUUUUUUUUUUUCAAAGUACGACAUCAAUUCAAAUAAUGAAGUUGGUCGACUUCCCAUUAUAUUUUUUCCAACUAGUAUAGAUGGGGGAAGACUUUGAAAUUACCUUUUCCGCUUUUUUUUUACUCUAAUCGAUAGUAAUUGAAUUAGACAAAUAUUCUAAGAUUUUUAUUUUUUUUUAAUAACCGUGGAUGUCCGAGUUAGCUUAUGCUGGCCUCGACUAAUCUCAUGGGGCCUUGAAGUUAAGGGUCGGGACUCGAACUGGUGACCAUUGGGGAGCCAACCCAAGGUCAGACCAACUAAGUUAUCCCUCAAGAUUCUAAGAUUUUCAUAUCUUAUUUGAUGUUUGACGAUUUUUUAUUAUUAUUUAUUAGUAUAUAUAUUUUGUAAAUUCUAUUAACAUAAUUCAUUGUUGCUAGACUAUAUUCAAAUUAAUUUGUAAGCACAUUUAUUAUAUUUCAAACUAAAAAAUUUAAGGUUAUGCUUAGUUCCAGAAAGUACAAAAGAAAGAAAAAAAAUGUUGGACUAUAUUUGGUUUCUAAAAAAUGCUGAUGAAAGAAAAAAAUGUUAAAGUAAAUUAUUUUUUCAUAUUAGGUUAUAUUAUAGAAAAUGUAAAAGAAAAUUAAAUAUAAUUAAAAUUAAUUUGAAAUUUAUAUGUUUUUAAAUUAUUUAAUUAUGCUACAAUGGAGAGAAAAAAGUAAAAUGAGUUUAAAAAAUUGUAUAAAAAUAAUUUAUUAAAUUUAAACUUUUUUUUCUUCACUUGUUUUUUUUUUCUACUUUUCCUCUCUAUUUCCUUUUUUUCGCAUUUUCCUUCAAAUUUCCUGAGAACGAAACAUAACUUUAAUGAAAUCAAAUAUUUAGCCCACAUUAAUAUUCGAUAUACUUUUUCAAAAUUCAUAUUUUUGUUCAUAAACAUUAUAUAUUAUAUUAUUGUUGAACAUCAUAAGUUAUAUAUAUAUAUAUAUAUAUAUUUAAUAUAAGGACUUCAAUAUAUCUAUUAUAAUUAUUUGUUUUAUCAUUUUUAGAAGUUUUUUUUAAUUAAAGAGACAUAAAUAAAAAUAACAAAUGAGAAGAACACAAGAACUACAGUUUUGAAGGUACUUUAAAAAAAACCACUAAUCAGCUAAUACCAUAUAUAUAAUUUAUGGUCUCAUUACUUCAUACUUUGGUUUUAUUCUAUGAUUAUUUAUAUUAAAGAGCAUGUAUAUUGAAGUUAAAUUGAGAGAUGACGUGAACUUAAUGGGUUUGAGCCACCAUCUAUAGAUGGAUUGCAACAUGAUGUAGUGUCAUGACACAAUGAUAUGACGCAAUGGCUGCCGACAAGGCGUCAGCUACAACACUUCCCCAUUUAUUAAAUUAGAUAUAGAGAAGAUCGAUAAUGUUUAAAAAUAAUAAUAAUAGUAAAUGUCACAGCAUUUCUAUCCAUCUUUUUUCACACCUAUUGGUAAGGGUAGCAGCGUGGCUGACUCGACCUCAUCUGCCUGGUGGGCACCAGCGGACAAAGCUCCACUCGAUUACGAAGAACCAGCUGUAGUGUGAGCCUGUGCCUUUUCGUUUGGUCAUGGAGUGGAUCUUUCGACUUGGAAGGGAAAAAGGGAGGAAGGGAGGAGGACCCACAGUCCAGUGUCGUCGAAAUAUGGUCUAUAUGAGUUGCAUGUGUGGCACCCUUGCUCUAUAUUUUCACGUGGCAGAGAAUAUUUCCAGCGACUUCGAAGUUUGAAGUCGUUUUCCAAUCGUAUAUGGCAGCUGGGAAUGGUGGGUGCAUCUGACUCAUCUUUGAUGGGAUCUGCCGGGAAAGUAGUGUGGAUCCAAGAUUUAUUUAUAUAUAUAUAUAUAUUGAGUUACAAGCUUUGGUCCUGUUGGCUAACUUUCCUGCUAAGUUUAUAGAAAAUAGAUGGCUUUAAAUACGUUUUCUAGUUGUUUUUAUUUCUUUUUGGAUAAUUAAUUUAAAAAAUAUAUAUAAAAUUUACGAAAACAUUUCAAGUUCCUAAACAAACUUUUUUUCUAUAAAACAUUCUUUCAAAAAACCAUGAUGCCGUUUGGUAACGGUUUUUUAAAACAGUUUUGAAAAAUGGUUUUUUAGAAAAUUGUUAUUUGAAUUUUUGUAAAACAAAAAUUUGUUUUGGAAUCUAAAAUAUUUUUAAUCUAUUUUUAAUAUUUUUGAAAAAUAUUUUUUUAUGUCUAAAACUUUAUUUUUAAUCAUUAUACAUGUUUGUAUAAUUAUUUUUUUAAACGGUUCUUAAAAAAUAAAUGAAAACAAUUAAAAAAACUAAAAGAUGUUUUAUAAAAAUAUCAUAUUUUUCAUAUUUUUUGUUUUUGAGAAUAGAAAAUAGAAAAUAGAAAAUAGAAAACAGAUUUUUGGUUAUCAAAGGUAUUUUUCAAUUUUUUUUAUUUUAAAAAAUAAAAAAUUAUCCUAAAAAACAGGUAUCAUAUAGAACCUAUACUUUGUUUAAAAACAAAAUAACGAAGAAGAAAGAAGAGCAACUAUAAAGGUUUAUUUGAUUAAAAAAUUCAUUGAAAAUAAUGAUCUUCCUUCUUUGAAAAAACUGAAAUUAUAACUUCUUUUCAAUAAAAAUAUCUUUUAACAAUUUUUGAAUUUUUAUCCCUCAUUAAACAGUUUUUUUUUUUAUUUAUAGAAAGGGGUAAAAAUGUCAAAACAAGGUUAUAUAUGUAAUUUGCAGUACAUAAAAUUUAUUUAUUUUUCAACAUUUUCGCAUCCCUUAUAAUCAAAUAUUUCGAUGAAAAACUAUUUUUUGAACUUGAAAAUAAGUUUGAUAAUUCUUUGAUAGAAAAUUUAUUUUGAAAAUGCGACAUUUUUUUAGAAUAUAUUUUAAGUUAUAAACAAACUUAAUUGUUUUUGAAAAAAUUUAAAAAGAAGAUGAUUUUUUUUAUCCGACAUUAUAAUUAAAGUGAAGAAAAUAAUAUGAGAAAAAAGAGAGGAAAAUAUUAAGGGAAAAAUGAAGAGGAAAAAUAUGAGGGACAAAAAUAAAAAGAAAUUUUUUGUUUAGUUGAAUCAAGGAAAAACAAUAUUAAAUCAUUUAAAGAAAAUAUUCCUUGGUAUUACUUUCAUAGUUUUUUCUUUGGUAUAAAAAAAAAGAAAAAAAAACCAUUUUCCUUAACUCUUUUUUCAUACAUCCAAAUAUUAGAAAAUGAUUGCUUUUAGUUUUUUUUUUUUUUUUCAUUUCUUAUUAUUUUUCAAAAAUCAAACAUAAUUUUAGAUAAAUGUAAAAAAAAAAAAAGCAAAAUGUAUUAUAAGUUAUUUUAAAAAUCAAAUUUAUCCAUUAAAAUUCAUAUUAAAAAUAAAAUUUCAAAUAUUAAGGGUUUGUUUAAUUUGAUAAUUGUUUUCGAGAAUAGUUUUAUAUUUUUUAGAACAAAAAAAUUGGAAAACAUAUUUGGCAACCAAAAAACCAUUUUAUGUUUUAUGUUCCCAAAAUUAGAAAAUAUGAUAUUUUCAAAAAAUAUCUUUUAGUUAUUUUCAAUUAUUUGUAGUUGUUUUUGGAAAAUUGUUUAAAAAAAAUAAUUAUACAAACAUGUAUAAUAAUUAAAAAUAAAUCUCUAGAUAUAAAAAUUAUUUUUAAAACAUAUUUAAAAUAUUAAAAAUAAGUUAAAAACUUUUCAGGUUUUUAAACAGACUUUUAUUCUAGAAAACAUCAAAGAAUAGUUUUAAAAAAAAUUUCAAAACUGUUUUUAAAAACGGUUACAAAAUAAGGGCAUAAGCUUCUAACAUUAUGAGUACAUAAAGAGAUAGAGAAAACACUUUCCAUAUUUUAAAAGUCUUAUGAAUCUAAGAAAAUGCUAAAAAUAGGAGAAAAAAAAGUAAAGAAAAAAUGUAAAUUCUUUUAUUUAUUUAUUUUAUGGCAAAAAGUAAGAAUUAAAAUUAAAUAUAAUAAAAAUUAUUUAAAAUUUUAUAGAUAUUCAAAUACUAAUUUAUAUAUAUAUAUAUAAGAUAAGGGUAAAAAUAGAAAAAUAAGGCAUGUUUGGUAACUGUUCUGGGAAAUAGUUUUGAAAAAUAAUAUUUUGAAAACUGUUCUUUGAUAUUUUGUAGAAUAAAAGUAUGUUUGAAAACAUAAAAUUUUUUAAUAUUUUAAAAUAUGUUUUAAAAGUAAUUUUUAUAUCUAAUAUUUUUAUUUUUAAUCAUUCUAUAUGUUUGUAUAAUUAUUUUUUAAAAUAGUUCUCAGAAAACAAAUGAAAACAAUAAAAAACAAUCAAAAGAUGUUAUCUAAAAACACUCUUAAAAACAUAAAAUAGAAAAUAAUUUUUGGUUAUAAAACAUAUUUUCAUAGUUUUUUGUUUUGAAGAAUAGAAAACUAUUAUAAAAAAUAGUUAUCAAACAGAUCCAAGAAAUUAACGAUACUUCUUUAUCUUUUGAGUCGUUUUGCCAAAUUAGUCCCUUAAGACCUUUGGUUUUUGCCUAGACCGAUGAAAAAAAUGGGAUCACUUUUUAUGGACUUGUUGAAAAUGAUUCUAAUAUAGUUUAGAACCUAUUAGAAAUAAGAAGACGAUCUAGUGGGAUCCUCAUGAAUAGAAAAAGAUGAUAGUCAAUUUGAUAAUAAUGAUAUUACUUUUUUAGAACUAAGGAAUACCUCAUAUAAUGUUCAAAAAUUCAAAUUUACAUAAUAAAAACUUUAUGCAUAUUCCGAAAUAAUUUUAAAAAAUAGUUUUCAAUUAUUUUCAAGAAUAAAUUUGGAAACUCAAAUAAAAUAAUUUAAAAAACAUUUUUUUCUUGCAUGAUACAAUUUUAAAAGCAUUAUCUUUAUUUUAGUUGUAGUUAACAAUUUAUAAAAUAAUACAACUAAAAUACCUGAACUUUAAAAAAUAAUUCGCUUGGAGAGUAAUUAAUUUUUAAAAAAAAUAUAUAAAAAAGUGUUUUAAUUAGAAAAUUAUUUUCUAUUUCAGAUGGGGGUUUUAUGUACUUUCCUUCCUCUUUCUCUCCCAUUUCCCUACCUUUUUCUCAAACUUGUGGACAUCCAAGCAGAGCGUCUAUAUAAGGAGAUAUGACACAUCCCCUGAGAAUAUGGGGACACGUGAGAAGACAAAGACAAGGGAAGAAAAUGGGGGAGACGCUGGGGAAUUUGGGGUCUGUAAUGGCGACAUUGAUGUUCAUCUGGGCUAUGUUCCGGCAAUACUUCCCUUGCGACCACAUCGAAAAAUACUCCCACAAAUUGAUGAAGUUUUUCUACCCUCACAUCCAAAUCACUUUCGAUGAAUACGGCAGAGGUCAUUUCAUGCGCCAUGAAUUCUACACCGCCAUCGAUACCUACCUCAGCUCCAAUACCGCCGACCAAGCCAACCGCCUCAAAGCCAACACCGCCAAAAACAACCAGUCACUGGUUCUCACCAUUGAUGACGGUGAAGAGGUUGAAGAUGAGUUUGAGGGAGUGAAGCUGUGGUGGACUUCAAGGACGAUCACAGCCGAAACUCGGACCUCCCACUCCUAUGAGCAGCCGGAUGAGAAGAGGUACUACCGGCUGACUUUCCACAAGAAACACCGGGAUUUGAUCACCAAGAAGUACCUCAGUCAAGUUUUGACACAAGGGGAGGCGAUUAAGGUCAGAACCCGGCAGCGGAAGCUUUAUACCAACAGUUGGUCGAUGUGGAGCCAUGUGGUUUUUGAUCACCCUGCAACUUUUCAAACGCUUGCCAUGGAGGCUGAUAAGAAGAGGGAGGUGAUCGAGGACUUGGUUUCUUUCAGCCAGGCUAAGGAUUUCUACGCAAGAAUUGGGAAAGCUUGGAAGCGGGGUUACCUCCUUUAUGGCCCUCCUGGGACGGGAAAAUCUACCAUGAUUGCUGCCAUGGCGAAUCUGUUGCUGUACGACGUCUAUGAUCUUGAACUGACGGCGGUCAGUGACAACACCGUGCUGAGGAAGCUGCUGAUGCAGAUUCCGAGCAAGUCCAUCACUGUGAUUGAGGACAUCGACUGCUCCCUCAACUUGACGGGUCAGAGGAAGAAGAUGAAGGAGAACAAGGCGGCCGAGGAGGAAGAGAAGGGCCCCAUUAAAAAACAAGCGAAGGUAGGAGACUCUGAUGAAGGGAAAACCAGCAAGGUGACUCUCUCCGGGCUGUUGAACUUCAUUGACGGCCUUUGGUCGGCCUCCAAGGGGGAAAGGCUAAUAGUGUUCACGACGAACUACAUGGAGAAGCUCGACCCAGCUCUGAUUCGGCGAGGAAGGAUGGACAAGCACAUCGAAUUAUCAUACUGCAGCUUUGAAUCAUUCAAGGUGCUGGCUAAGAAUUAUCUGGAGCUUGAUUCCCACCACCUGUUCGACACGAUUGAGAGGCUGUUGGGGGAAAGUAAAGUGACCCCAGCUGAUGUUGCUGAGCAUUUGAUGCCUAAGACAAGUGUGGCUGAUGUUGAAACAAGCUUGAAGAGCCUGGUUCAGGCAUUGGAGAUGGCCAAGGAACAAGCAAUGUUGAAGGCCAAGGAAGAAGGCAAAGAGAAGGAGUCAUCUGCUAGGGAAGAAGAUUGACGAUCAUUGGCAAUAGAGACUAUGAUUGUGUUUAUCCUACUGAAUUAAUUCCUGGGAAUUAUGAAAUAUUGGUCAAGUUAAUAGUAUGGUAAUUGAGGUUAAUGGGAAAUGCAUAUGGUGACCAAUUCUGAAGAUCUUUUCUAGGGCUUAAGGGGGCUUNNNNNNNNNNNNNNNNNNNNNNNNNNNNNNNNNNNNNNNNNNNNNNNNNNNNNNNNNNNNNNNNNNNNNNNNNNNNNNNNNNNNNNNNNNNNNNNNNNNNGAAGGAUAAGAGAAAUGAGAGAUGAAGAUAUUGGGAGCAAAGGAUAAGAGAAAUGAAAAGAUGAAAGUUUGUGCCUAAUGAAUAUUUUUACAAUAUGAAGAUGAAUGCUGAUCACUCGUGUUAUGGAAAUGGAAGAUAUUAAUAAUAUAAAAGUUCUUCAAGCACGUUUGGUACUAAUUUUAAAAAACAUUUCUAAUAUUUUUAAUAUUUAAAAAAUAUUAUCAUUCAGGUGUUAAAAAAGUUAUAAACGUUUUUUUAUAAUUAUUUUCAAAGAUACUUUUCAUUUACUAAUAAUAAUAAAAAAGUGUUUUUCAACCGUCACAAUGAUACUUGGUUUGACUAUGCUUUUAGAAAAUAUUUAUAAUAUAAAUAAUAUUGCGGCUAUCAGAAAUAUGAGAGUAAUGAGAGAUGAAGAUAUUGGAAUGAAAGGAUAAGAGAAAUGAAAGGGGGAAAGUUUGUGCCUAAUAUAUUUUUACAACUGGAAGAUGAAUGUUGAUCACUUGUGUCAUGGAAAUGAAAGACAUUAGUAAUAUAAACAUUCUUCAAGCUCGUUUGAGAGUGAUUUUAAAAAACAUUUCUAACAUUUUUAAUAUUUAAAAUUUUUUAUCAUUCAAGUGUUAGAAGGGUUAGAAACGUUUUCUAUCAUUACUGUCAAACCUACUCUUCAUUUAUUAAUAGUAAAAAAAAAAGUGUUUUUCAAUAGUCCCAAUGAUACUUGGUUUAACUGUGCUUGUAGAAAAUAUUUAUAAUAUAACAUUUCUUAAGAAAUCAAACAUUUGAAAAUAUUAAUAUUUUGAAAGUAAGGUAAAUAUCUCUUUUUUUUUAACAUAUUUUUAUAAUAUAAUAAGGCCCAUGCUGUAUUAAAUAGUAAAGAAAUAAAAUUUAAUAAUUUAAACUUUUAAAAAAUGAAUUUUAACCAUAUUUAAUAAAAACUCAUAUUAAAAUAAUUUAUUUAAGUUGUUUCAUUCCAUAGGAAAAAAAAAAAAAAAGGGAAUUUAGCCAAGACUAUGGAUGCAACUUUGGAUGGUUGGUGUGAUCCAUCCAACAUAUGAGUAUGAUUGGACAAUUAUUUUCAAUACUCAAGUUGGGCUUAGGUUAGGUUUUUCUAUAUAUUAAUUUGAGCUCAUUUUGUUUAGAUUUUUUUUUUAAAAAUAUAUUAAGUUAUAUUAUGUCAAUUUUUUUUUCAUGUUUUUAGUAAAGAUAUAUAAAUUUAUUUUUGUUUUUAUUUUUGUUAUUAUCUUGAAAUUUUGUUACAUUUAUAAUCUGACCAAUCCGAACUUAAAUAAAUGAUGUUGGGUUGAAUACUAUGGAUUAGAGGGCAGAUUAGGUUGAGUUCAAUUUAAUUAUUUUUUAAUACGAGUUAGACUCAAGUUAACCAUCAAUCCAAUCAACUUACCCAAGUUGCAACCUUAGCCUAAACUAAUAUGCUUCCAAUAUAUAGUUUGGUAUUUUAUUAUUAUUAUUAUUAUUAUUAUUAUUAUGCAAACAUUUGGGAAAUUUCAAGGAAUAAAAAUAGAGAAUAAAUAAAAAUGAUUUAAGAAAAAAUGUCAAAAUGAAGAAGAAAUAUCAUGACUUACAUUCAUUUUUAUUUCAUAUUAGCUCGUUAGAAGGUAUCUAUAUAUAUAUAUAUAUAUAUAUAUAUAUAUAUAUAUAUAUAUAUAUAUAUAUAUAUAUAUAUAUAUUGAAAAGAAAAAACCUUUGUCAACUUUUCCCAUAAAAGAUUAUAGGAAAAAUUAUAUAUUUAUAACUUUUGUUGAUAGGAAAAGUUAUAAAAAAAACUUUUUUGCAUUUUUCAUUAAAUAUUUAUGGGUGGUGUGGGACCCAACUCCAGUCCAGGCAUAAAUCCAUUUCUUGUCCAAGUAUCAAACAAACAAAAGGAUAUUUGAGUAACGUCCAUAUUCAUUACACAAGUACUAAAUGUAUCGAACUGUUACAUUAGGAGUAAUCAUGAAUAUAGACAUCUGAUUUUAAGUUUAAAAGUUAUUAUUUGUAAGACCAAUUAUUGGCAUUUAAAGCAUUAAAGAGGCACAUAAAAUGUUACAACUUUGUUAGAAUGAAAGACCACUAGACAUUAAUUUUAGGUAUGAAUGAAUCUCCUUAAAAAAGUCAUAGCCCUUUUUUUUUUCUUCCAAAAACUAACUUAAGCUUUGGAAGAAUGUGCAUGGAAAUACCUUUUGGACACACCUUGUUGCAGGUAUGUUCGUCAUUUGCUCGAAGGAAGUUAGUUGAAAAAAAUAUUGUUGACUAUGCACCAACAAUUGGCAUUGUUUGUGGGAAACGAACGAAAAGCCUUAAAUGUAGAAGGCUAACGUACCUCUUGGAACAUUUCCCAUUCGACAUAUAUGGACAACCGAUUCCACACAUAGCAAACCAAAAUGGAGAGAAGGCAAGAAGAGUAUGAGCGGUGCAUGCAAUCGCUGUUUUAGCAUGCAAAGUAGUUGAAAUAGGAAAACAAAGAGUUAUGGGCGCAAAUAGCCUCAAGACAUCAUGUGAGUUAAAGGAGGCAUUGCACACCUAGCCGAACGACCUCGAAGCCAACACGAAGUUGGCUAUGUGCUUACAAGCAUAUAACUAAACUGCUAAAAGCGGAAAAACAAAGUCGAAUCUGGCUAUGUGCUCACACACACCUAACUAAACCACUAAAAGAGGAAGAACAAAAUUGAAUUCGGCUACGUGGUUACAAACACCUAACUAAAUAGCUAAAAAUGGAAGAACAAAGUUGAAUCCGACUACAUGCUUAUAAGCGCCUAACUAAACCGCUAAAAGCAGGAGAAUAAAGCCAAAUCCAACUAUGUGCUCACACACACCUAAUUAAACUACUAAAAGCUGAAGAAUAAAAUUGAAUUCGGCUACAUGGUUACAAACACCUAACUAAACGGCUGAAAAUGAAAAAACAAAGCUAAAUCCAACUACAUGCUCAUAAGCACCUAACCAAAUGGCUAAAAAUGGAAGAAUAAAGUUGGAUUCAUCUAUGUUCUUAUACACACCUAACUAAAAUAAUGAUUCAAUUACUAUGCUCAUUCUUCAAGAUGGAAGGUGGAGUGAGGAAGAUGUUUUUGUUUUAGUGCCUGUAACAUAAUUGCUAUAGUGAUGGUUUUUCAAGAUGGAAGGUGGGUGUGGUUCUACCAUUGCUUUUCUUGUUAUAUUAAUGAUAUUGAAUUGGCCAAAUUUUACUUAGGUUGUCUUGUUUUGAUUGGAAGUAUGCACCUAAUGGAGUCACUGCUUAUUCUGCCCUAACCAAGAGAGUCACUUACAAGGCAAGACGAUAAAAAUAUAACAUCUUUAAUAUAUAGUUGCUAGCUUGUUUCUUUAUCAAUUUUGAUUUCAUUUUAUUCUUGUUUUAUUUAGGUCUUGAUUGUGACGAAAAAUUUAUGCCUAUGUUCUAUUGUUAUGGAGAUGAUCAUUGAGACCACACAAAGGUUCUAUUGUAGACCCUCCAUUUUGUCCCCUUAGUACAUGUUCUAUUAGGAGUUUAGUUCAAUACAUCAUAGCAACUUCUUGGUGGCCCAUUACUACUAAUUCAGUUUGCCUUUUUCAAGCCACCUCAGAGACUUUGGUUGAGGGAUUUAUUUGGCUCUAACCCUUGACAAUCUUGAAUUAGACUUAGAAUUUUCCUUCCUUUUUAAGAUAACUCUUUUAGGUACAUUUUUUAGGACACUUAGUUCGCCCUAGGUCACUUAAACACUUUUAGACUCACUUCUUUUUGUGCAUGACUUGCAUGGUUGCAUGACUUACAUGACUUGUGUGACUUUUUUUUAAUUUUAUUUAUCAUUUUUGUUUCAUUUUAUUUUAUGUUAUUAUAUUAUAAGGUUUCUAGCUCAUAUUUAUUGGAUUUUUGCACGAGGAAACUGGUUGCCAUCUAUUUGGAAGGAGAAUCACUAGAAAUUUCAAGAAAGGAAAGUGGCUGAGAUUUUCAUUUUUUUUAGUGGAAAAAUAAGAGCGACCAAAUUUUCCUUGAGAAGAAAGAGAAAGUGGCAGAUUUUUCACAUGAAAAAAAAGUAGCAGAUUUAUUGAGGAGCUGGAAUUCUUUUCUAUGGAAGGAAAAGGUGGCAGAAUUUUGGAGGGAAAAAGGAAAGUAACAAAUGUUGUUAUAUAGAGAGGCACGUCUUCAAAAGGACCAGGUGAGAUUCCAGGCUGGGAGGAUAGCAAAGGAGAAAGAGGUUGUUCUGGUUUUGGUUUUUAUUAUAGAGAGAAGAGGAUGACGAGAGAGGGACAUAGGAUGAUAGACCAUUAAGAGACAACUGCAAAAAAAAAGGGGGACAAAGGCACCAAUACGGGUAGCAGACAUGAUCAGCACACACUAGGAGAGAACUGGGCAGAAAAGCGAGAAUCAGAGGAGCAUUUUUCGGUAUGGCUGCUCUACGCUCUCUGUUUUCUUGAUCAUCGUAUAAUUCUUCAUAUUUUCUUUCAAUUUAUGGGCAUUGCGUCUUUGCUUUAGGUAUGGAUAUCAGGCUGUAUGUUUGUUUUUAAUUAAGUUCUAGGCUGAUCAUAGAUUUUAAUAUUGCUGAUUUAUUUGUCCUUAUAGCCCUGUUUGUGGGUAAUUUGGUUUGCUCUAAUUUGCUACAUAUCAUAAGUCUUGCUACUGGUGCUUUUCUCCUUUAACUAUAUUUGAUGUCCCACUUGGUUUUCAAGCCCAUUUAAGGAGCAUGAAAUGUGGCUUAUUCUGAUUACCCACCCAUUGUCUUCCUUUCCCCUGUUUUUUUUUUUCUUGGUUUCUUUUUCUAUGCUUCUAUAUCUACGUUUCUUCCUUUUCUUUAUUUUGGUGCUCUCGGCUAUGAAGAUCAUAAUGGGUUUGAGUAUUCCAAGAAAGGUGGAAACUUUAUAAAGGCUGUGUACAGUGGGGAUUGCGUGGAGCUAGAUAGGUGCAGAGGUUGCCACGGUUUCUAGGAGCUCUUUGUGACUUUCUGGAUUGGAUGUUGGUAGAUUUAAACUAUGAAGAUAUCCCUCUGGUAUUUAUGUUGUUUGCAUGAUUGAUGAAAGAAUAUACUCUUUUUUUUGGGUUUUGUGUCAUGAAAAGAGCAUGGGGUCAUCUCCACACUAGAAAGUUUCUCACUGAGUACUUGCAGCAAGGGAUCAGAUCAUGGUUCUUGCUCCUGGCGGGAUCUGGAAUGUUUUGAGUAAUGAAAUGGUUGAAACCGGGUUGAGACUAAAUCUGGCAGUUUAUGGUAAGAUGGUUGAUGUGUUAUGAGAGUUGGCCUUUCAAAUAUUUGAUGCUCCAAGCGGCCUGAGAUAGAAUCUGGGAGACCUGGUUUUUCUUCAGUUUCCACUUCAAACUUGUCUUUAAUGAAGGAUGGAAGCGUGAUAUCACCAAGAAUGGUCCUAAAGCUAUUAGGUAAGGGUCUGUCACUGUUGGUUCACCUGUACUGCAUUGGGGACAAGGGCGUAAUCUCUCUAGAUGGAUGAACUUUCAGUGCUUUGUUACUAUUAGAGAUGACUCAAUUGUUAUUAGGUCACUGGACGAGAAGAAAGGGGCUUGGGUAUCCACUCAGGAGUGAUUCUUCAUUUGGUUCUUCUCUGUCUCAUACUACAACAGAUUCAUAUUUAAAUUACAGUGGAGUCAGAAAAGUUAAAGUGAAUAAAGCCAGGGGCUCUGACAAUGGUAUACUUAAGGAAUGGGGCACUUCUACAAUAGGGAAGGCUACAGUGUUUUUUUUUCAGUUGGUACAGCCUGACAUAAGAGUGAUUACAGCAACAUUUUACUGGUCCUUGUUUAUAAUAAUGGUAAUCAGAAAAUCAUUCCAAUGGGUGCUUACCUUAAUAAGGCAACGUCCAGUUUUGGCUCAAUAAGUUCUAUCUCCAACUAGGAGACUGCCAGUUCUAUAUCAAUGGGUCACACCCAUCACGCAGUGGAUAGGAGUCUGCCGUAUUAACCCCAAGCUUUUUGGCUUUAGUAUUGUUUUUUAGGAAAAGUUUCCUUCAGCAGGCCCCUCAAUCACGGCAUAACAGACAGAGAUGGCAUUUCUAAAGCAAUUUCAAUGUCCUCCCAACAGUCCUUUGAGUUUGGGAAUUCUUGGUAACAGUCAUCAUGCAUGGAGAAUCCUCACCCUUCACAUGAGAAAUUGCUUUAGCUGAUGAAUAAUGCCUUCAUUGUCAUCUACCGAACAAAGAGAACCUCUCAAGGUGAACCUCAAGAAUUGCAAGUUAAGCCAAUGCCCCUUGUUCAAAAAGAAGAUCAAAUUCAUGAGGUCCCUGCUAAAUGAACUUUUUGUUGAUCCUGAGAUUGAAAAAGCUGUGAGAACUGCAGUCCUUUUGUCUGGUUCCCCUCCCGACAGCCCACAUCAAGAAGCUAAAGGUCUCAAUAGUGAAGGAUCUAACCACAAUUUCUCAAAGAAUGUAGACUCAGGUGGUCAUGAAAGUGACAUCCCUUCCUCUGUUGGCUUCUCAACCUUCAGAUAUUUUCGUUUACGGAAAUUGUGUGAUAAUUGGCUAUGGAUUGAUUAUAUAAUUGAAGUUUCACUAAUCCACCCUAAUAAGAAUGUUGAAAAUGUUAAAGAAUUUUUAGACACAAACAUCCAGCAAGCUAUUGAAGGUUCUUCUGGCAUAAAAUAUUCCUGAGGUUGGUUUACUCGGUGGAUUUGUAGAUAUUGGAAUGAACAUAAAAAGAAUGGUGGAUGAGAUAUUGCAGUCUGUUCGUAUAUUGGCUCACGAUCACUGUAAGUGUCAUGUCAUACAGCAUGUUCCAGAAUCUGGGAAAGUCCCAUACGAAAAAGGCCCCUCUAUCUUUCCAGACCCAUGGAUGUGUUGGAAAAAGGGGAUGAAUGAAAUUAAGUAAAUCCAUUGAAUUAAGUAAAUUCAUUCAUUUUUCCAGAAUUCUAAGAGUCUCAAGAAGCCAAAUUCAUUUUGGCUUUCUGAACCUGUUUGUGUUCUUCCCUCCUUGAAGUCUAUAAAUAGUGGUAGACUUUCUUUCAAAAAAAAAAGUACAGAAAAACUUUGGAGUAUUGUCAGAGUGUUGAAUAGUUCCUUUCUUCCGUGUCCGUGAUAGAGUUGAACAAUUUCCAGUUCGCCGGAGUAGCUGCAGAGUGUUGUUGCUGCCAUUCGAAGAUCGUUUUAUCCUGGGAGACAGACGCCUUGCGAUUCUCAAAGCACCUGUGGAGAAGACGAAUCUGUUUUAAGGAGAUUGUGUUUUCCACAAGACUCGGUCUAAUCUUCUUCCUUAAUUCUCUGUUUUUUUUUUCUUCAGUUUUCUUUUAUUUUCUUAUGAACUAACCAGUGUGUGCAGUGUGGUUGUCUAACAUUCUUAAAACAUAUUUUUUUCAAAGGAAAACCAGUGGUUGGUGAAAAGGAAACAAGUUAUCAGGAAGAAGAAGAAGAAGAAGAAAAAAAAAACCAGUGGGAAAAAAAAAACCUGUAAGUUUUUGGAAAAGAAAAAAAAAAAAAAACAAAAGAUAAUUUUUGAAAAAAAAAAAAAUUUGCAAGUUUUUUUGAAAAAAAAAAAAAAAAGGAAAAAAGAAAUUGACACAUUUUCUUGGAUGUUUCAGGAAAAUGACAACUGAAUCCGAUAACGUUGUUGUAACUGAAUUAGCCCCAGUGGCAACCCCUACUGUGGCCCAAGUGCCAGCGAUGCCUACUGUUGUACCAAUCUCUGUCUCACCAGGAGAAAAACCAGAGAAGUUCAGUGGACUAAAUUUUAAAAGGUGGCAACAAAAGAUGUUAUUCUAUUUGACCACGUUGAAUCUUGCAAGAUUCUUGACUGAGGAUGCUCCUAAGCUCAAAGAAGACGAGCACGAUAUCCAAGUCAUCAGUGCUAUAGAUGCUUGGAAACAUUCUGACUUCUUGUGUAGAAAUUAUGUCAUGAAUGGUUUAGCUGAUUCGUUGUACAAUGUUUAUUCUGACAAGAAAACAGCUAAGGAGCUAUGGGAAUCUCUAGAUCGGAAAUAUAAAACUGAGGAUGUCGGGGCUAAGAAAUUUGUUGUGGGUCGCUUCCUCGACUAUAAGAUGGUAGAUUCCAAGACUGUGGUAAGUCAAGUCCAAGAACUUCAAGUAAUCUUGCAUGAGAUACAUGCUGAGGGAAUGAUGUUGAGUGAAACUUUCCAAGUAGCAGCUAUUAUUAAGAAACUACCCCCUGCUUGGAAAGAUUUUAAGAAUUACCUCAAGCACAAAAGAAAGGAAAUGAGCAUCGAGGAUCUAAUUAUUAGACUUCGCAUUGAAGAAGAUAAUAGAAGAUCUGAAAAGAAAAGGGCGCACACUCUAAAUGAGGCUAAGGCUAACUUUGUGGAACAUGGUCAAAGUUCCAAGGCAAAGACGAACAACAACAAAGGGAAAGGAUCUAAGUUGGGACCUAAAGGAGGGAUCUCAAAGAAGCCGAAAUUUCAAGGGAAAUGCUUCAAUUGUGGUAAGCAAGGUCACAAGUCUGUUGAUUGUAGACUGCCUAAAAAGAAUAAACCUAAGGAAGCUAAUGUGAUUGACGACAUCACUAAAAAUGUUUCUGACAUUGACCUCACAGCAGUAGUCUCUGAGGUGAACUUGGUGGGUUCUAACCCAAAGGAAUGAUGGAUUGAUACUGGUGCUACUUGCCAUGUAUGCUCUGAUAAGAAAAUGUUCUCCACUUUUGAACCAAUUGAGAAUGGGGAAAAAGUGUUCAUGGGGAACUCUGCCACCUCUGAGAUCAAUGGUCAAGGUAAAGUAAUCUUGAAGAUUACUUCUGGGAAAGAGUUGACUCUGACCAAUGUUUUAUAUGUACCGGAAAUUUGCAAGAACUUGGUGUCUGGUUCAUUGCUGAAUAAUCAUGGAUUUCGGUUGGUCUUUGAGUCAAACAAAUUUGUUUUGUCCAAGAGUGGAAUGUAUGUUGGGAAAGGGUAUAUGAGUGAUGGAAUGUGGAAACUCAAUGUAAUGACUAUUAUUAAGUCAAAUAUGAAUAAAGCUAGUACUUCUACUUACAUGCUUGAGUCUUCUAAUCUAUGGCAUGGUAGAUUAGGACAUGUUAAUUAUGAUACAUUACGUAGAUUAAUUAACUUAAAUCAUAUACCAACAUUCCAAAUUAAUUCCAACCAUAAAUGUGAAACUUGUGUUGAGGCAAAACUAACAAGGUCAUCUUUUCAAAGUGUUGAAAGAAACACUGAACCCCUUGAUUUGAUCCAUAGUGAUAUCUGUGAUUUGAAAUUUGUACAAACAAGAGGUGGUAAUAAAUAUUUUAUUACUUUUGUUGACGAUAGCACCAAAUACUGUUAUGUGUAUUUACUAAAAAGCAAGGAUGAAGCUAUAGAGAAAUUUGUUCUCUAUAAAAACGAAGUUGAGAAUCAACUCAACAAGAAAAUUAAGGUACUAAGAAGUGAUCGAGGUGGUGAGUAUGAAUCGCCAUUUGUUGACAUUUGUGCUCAACAUGGGAUUAUACACGAAACAACAGCACCUUAUUCGCCUCAAUCCAAUGGAGUGGCUGAGCGAAAGAAUCGUACCUUAAAGGAAAUGAUGAAUGCAAUGUUAAUAAGUUCUAGUUUGCCACAAAACAUGUGGGGAGAAGCCAUUUUAACUGCUAAUUACCUUUUGAAUAAGGUACCCAAAAAGAAAGCAGAAAAGACUCCAUAUGAGUUAUGGAAAGGAAGAAAGCCAUCCUACACAUACUUACGAAUGUGGGGAUGUCUUGCUAAAGUGGCAGUUCUUCCACCUAAAAAGGUGAAAAUAGGACCUAAGACUAUUGAUUGCAUUUUCAUUGGCUAUGCACAUAAUAGUAAUGCUUAUCGGUUUCUUGUUUAUGAAUCAAAUAUCCUAGAUAUUCAUAAGAACACGAUAAUGGAAUCAAGGAAUGCAUCAUUCUUUGAAGAUGUAUUUCCAUAUAAAUCUAAAGAGGAGUCAAGUUAAUCAAAACAAAUGCUUGAGACUAUUAAUGAAAAUAGUCAACAUCAAAAUAAAGAAGUUGAGGUAGAACCUAGACAUAGCAAAAGGGCAAGGACAGAGAAAUCUUUUGGUCUAGAUUUUCUUACUUUUAUUCUUGAAGGCGAACCUCAAACUUUUAAAGAGGCAGUGAACUCUACAGAAGGUCUUAUGUGGAAAAAGGCCAUUAAGAGUGAAAUUGAUUCCAUAUUGCAAAACCAUACUUGGGAACUAGUGGAUCUUCCACCAGGUUGUAAACCUUUAAGUUCCAAGUGGAUUUUCAAGAGAAAGAUGAAAGUAGAUGGAUCAAUUGACAAGUAUAAAGCAAGACUUGUAAUCAAAGGCUACAGACAAACUGAAGGCCUAGAUUAUUUUGACACAUAUUCUCCUGUGACGAGAAUAAAUUCCAUAAGGAUGGUACUUGCAAUUGCUGCAUUGAGAAAUCUUGAAAUACAUCAAAUGGAUGUAAAAACAGCCUUUCUAAAUGGAGAUUUAGAUGAAGAAAUCUAUAUGGAGCAACUUGAGGGUUUUUCAACUCCAGGACAAGAAAAGAAA